rnacentral:rRNA from 1 species
GACGAACGCUGGCGGCGUGCCUAAUACAUGCAAGUCGAGCGGAUCUUCAUUAGCUUGCUUUUGAAGAUCAGCGGCGGACGGGUGAGUAACACGUGGGCAACCUGCCUGUAAGACUGGGAUAAAUUCGGGAAACCGGAGCUAAUACCGGAUAAUCCUUUUCCUCUCAUGAGGAAAAGCUGAAAGACGGUUUCGGAUGUCCCUUACAGAUGGGCCCGCGGCGCAUUAGCUAGUUGGUGAGGUAACGGCUCACCAAGGCGACGAUGCGUCGCCGACCUGAGAGGGUGAUCGGCCACACUGGGACGGAGCCCAGGCCCAGACGCCUACGGGAGGCAACAGUAGGGAAUCUUCCGCAAUGGACGAAAGUCUGACGGAGCACCGCCGCGUGAGCGAUGAAGGCCUUCGGGUCGUAAAGCUCUGUUGUCAGGGAAGAACAAGUAUCGGAGUAACUGCCGGUACCUUGACGGUACCUGACCAGAAAGCCACGGCUAACUACGUGCCAGCCGCCGCGGUAAUAC